UACGUAGGGGGCAAGCGUUGUCCGGAUUUAUUGGGCGUAAAGAGCGUGUAGGCGGUUUGGUAGGUCCGUUGUGAAAACUCGAGGCUCAACCUCGAGACGCCGAUGGAAACCAUCAGACUAGAGUCCGGAAGAGGAGAGUGGAAUUCCUGGUGUAGCGGUAAAAUGCGCAGAUAUCAGGAAGAACACCCGUGGCUAAGGCGGCUCUCUAGUACGGUACUGACGCUGAGACGCGAAAGCGUGGGGAGCGAACAGG
rnacentral:rRNA from 1 species